GAAAAAACAAAAGACAUUUCAAAAAUUGCAAGCCGUGGAGGAAUGAUCAGAAUAUUUGAUUUGUUUACCGCUUACACCGGCCUUGAACCUUCUAUUUUGAUCUGGUAUACGAAGUAAUGUCCAGUGAAAAUUAGUGUACAAAGAGCGAUCGAAACGGGAAGUUGAUGACAGAAAAGCACAUGUACAUACACACACAUUUUAUUAGUGUUUCAGUCACAUGUAUAUCCAUCGUAUGAAUAGAAAUAAGGAAGUUCUGCAUUUCAGAACGGAUGAAGAACAUUCACCAGGAUAAAUAGAAUUAUCAUCAUAAAUGGCUGGAUUAAAAUACACAAUAACAUUCAUUACUGUUAUCUGUUGGGGGUCAGUCGUAUCCAUAAAUACCAAUUGGAGAAACGCGAUGGACAUCUGUAUAUUAGGACAUCAACAGCCUUCAUCUGAGGACAAUGCUUCAAAGAAUGGUUCUUGGGUGGGCAAAGUGAAAUAUUCGUUCCCUUGCGGUUACGGGAUUUUGCAGAUACAGACGGUUAACAAAAAUAAUACGUGCUCAGAUUGUGAUGCCCAGGGAAAGCAGUGCGAAUUUUGUAAUAAUCGUAUCCAGCUAAAUGGUAGUGUUGCAAUCUUUGAAGUUCUAAGAAGUUUGAAGUCCGGAAUACAUUAUAUACUUGCAGAGUUUGGAAAACAAUCUUUAAGUGGACUACCUCCACCCACACAGUGUAUGGUACACAGAGGCGCUUCACAUACCGAAUAUGUCUCUUGCAAUGAAGAGUAUGAAGAUGGAUGUCGAAAUGCGGGUGAAAAUAUCGGCAUCUAUAUCACUAUUUGCUUUAGUGAAUGUGGUACUGGUAAAACACAAACAGACAUGGAUUUUGUACAAUGUGACUCUCAAGAAAGCACUGGUGCUGGAAACGGAUAACUAGAAAAUCAAAAAGACUUUUGGGGGUCGCAACGCUUGUUAUGAAGGUACAGUAUUCUGAACAUGACCUUUUUGCACUUAAAAUUUAUUCAAUUUGACUUGAUAUGUCGUUGGUGUCAACACAACAUAAGCAAUACAAAUCGAUCAUUACAUAAAAUACAUACAGAACCUUCUAACUCUACAGAUUAAAUAUUUUUAUAAUAGUGAUGCAAUAAUCGAGAUUAUUUGAGUUUAUAUCAAAUAGUCCGUAUUAAUUUUGAUACACCCUGUAGGUCGGGUCUACCUGACUUUAGGGGCUAGCUGGUACAAGUUAAUUUGUAUGCACUACGUCACACUCGGUACUCCCUGUGAUCGAACUCAUUCACUACACUUUUUCCAACCGAAGCAGCAACGUGGUUCUUGUAUUUGAGGCGGAAACCAAGCAUGUGGCCGAGUUUUUUCUCCCCUUUUUUGGAUUUAUUCCCUACACAUAGCUUCUUGACAAUUUUACGUGCAUUAGGAAUGCCACCUAAAAAACGAGCAGCGACCCAGAGACCCCCGGCCAGGGGGGGGGGGUCGGGAUGAAACGUAAUUGUCGGACAACAGCUCAACUCCGGGAACGAAGUCCAAAUCACACGGCCACCUCUUGGACGGAUCGACUAGCCCCUGCAGAGGGGCAGCCACAGCCCCCUGAGGAGAUCCUCGAUUCCCAAUGGAUAAUACACAGGAUAGCCCGGAAAGUAUUCAUUUCGACAAUGACUGAAAGGAAAAGAGAGACAGAGGGAUGGUGUAGACUGUUUGUCAUUUCGCCAUAGGGAUACAAAUAUUAUACAAACACUAUGACCACAGAAGCACUACAGACGGCCCUGUGACCCUUCAUGUGUUCAUCAAAAGUAUACACAGCACCCUGAUCUCUUGGCUAGCAGUUGAGGAGCAUGAAUAUUGAUGUGGUGUGUGUCCACGUAUACUCUCAAUACAUCAGCCAGCAGGAGAGUUGACAACAGUAUCAAGGACGGAUGCCAAAUCUAGGGCAAUCAACACAUCAUGCAGUACCGCAAAACAGGAAAAAGAAACGAACACAUGUAUUUUCAUUUCAUGUUAACAAAAAUAAAUUUGUGAUAUUGUUAAUCUUGUUUUAGAUAUUCACAUUCAAGCACAGUAAUCCGUGACAAUUGUUAGACCGUUCUUGGCACACUGAUUCCGACUACGGAUUGCUC